rnacentral:rRNA from 1 species
ACGGGUGCGUACACGUGNGACUGCCCGAAGAUCGGGAUAGCCCGGGGAACCCGGAUUAUACCGGAAUAUCCUCUUUGGACCACAUGGUCUGUUGAGGAAAUGGUCCGCUGCUUCGGGAUGGCCUCGCGCCUAUCAGCUUGUUGGUGAGGUAAUGGCUCACCAAGGCAAAGACGGGUAGCUGGUCUGAGAGAACGAUCAGCCACACUGGGACUGAGACACGGCCCAGACUCUCUACGGGAGGCAGCAGCAGGGAAUAUUGCCCAAUUGGGCGAAAGCCUGAUGCAGCGACACCGCGUGCGGGAUGAAGGCCUUCGGGUUGUAGACCGCUUUCAGGAGGGACGAAAAUGACGGUACCUCCAGAAGAAGGCCCGGCCAACUACGUGCCAGCAGCCGCGGUAAUACGUAGGGGCCAAACGUUGUCCGGAUUUAUUGGGCGUAAAGGGCUCGUAGGCGGUUUAACAAGUCGGUCGUGAAAACCCGGGGCUCAACCCCGGGACGCCGGUCGAAACUGUUAUGACUAGGGUCCGGUAGAGGUGAGUGGAAUUCUCGGUGUAGCGGUGGAAUGCGCAGAUAUCGAGAGGAACACCAGUAGCGAAGGCGGCUCACUGGGCCGGUACCGACGCUGAGGAGCGAAAGCAUGGGGAGCAAACAGGAUUAGAUACCCUGGUAGUCCAUGCCGUAAACGAUG